rnacentral:lncRNA from 1 species
CUGGCUCAAAAAAAAAAAAAAAGAAAGAAAGAAAAAAAUACAUAUUUGUUGAAUGAACAAGUGAAUGAACAAAUGUUAUGCAAAUAUAUUAUCCCUAUCUGUAGCUUGCCUUUUAAUUUUGUUAUAGUAACUUUGGUUGAAAGGAAGUUCUAAAAUCUUUAAUAUAAUCAAAUGUAUCAAUCUUUUCAACUUGUAUAUUUUAUGCCUUGUUUAAUCAACUCUGUCUUAUAUCAAAAUUAUAAAAGUAUUACCCUGUAUUUUCUUAUAAAAGUUUUGAAUCUUUUCUUUUUCCACUUAGAUCAUUAAUCAACUUGGAAUUGGUGUUACAUAGUGGUAAAUGAUUGUCCCAGGACCACAUAUUGAAUAUUUUAUCAUUUCUCCACUGAUUUGUAACAACACAGUGGUUAUAUAUCCUGUUUAUACAUGGGUCUGUCUCUAGGUUUCCGGUUCUGUUCCAGUGGUCUGUUUGCUUACCCUUCUACUAAUAGCACAUUGGCCUAAUUACUAUAACUUUAUAAUGUGGCUCAAUCUCUGGAAAACCACAUACCUCUCCCCUCCUCUUUCUACAAUAUUCUUAUAUUUUGCAACUGGCCUUUACUGUUUUGUAUUAUUUUUAACAAUACCUUAUAUACCCACAUAUAUUAGAUGCUCUUAGCAUCACUAUUUAUAGCAUCUAAAAAUUGGAAAUUAUUUAAAUGUCCACCAAUACAUUAGUUAAAUAAAUUAGGUUAUACUCACAUAGUGGAAUACGAUACUGGCUUUCAAAAGAAUGAGGUAAAUUUACAUAUCUACAUUAAAAGGUAUUCAAGAUAUCAGAAAAAAGGGCAAGUUGCAAAACAAUAUUUAGAGUAAGAACCUAUUCAUGAAUUUUUUUAAUGUAAUUUGUGUUACAUGUAGAAAAAAAUAUGGGCAAGAAUACAUCAAAAUGUUAACAGUGGUUAUAUCUGAGGAUCAGGAAUAGGAAGAACAUUCGCUUUCUAAGGUGAAGAAGAGAUCCCAGUGGAAAUUGUGGUAGGAGUCACAAGGUCAUCUCAGUGGGCAGACUAAGGUAGAAAAAAAAUAAAAGGAAUCCAGACAGAACAAAGAAUGAAACUAUGGACACAGGCAUGAGAGAAAUGCACUUAUUUGUGGCAGUACUAUUGCAGAGAUAAUGGGAGAGGUGGUAAGAGCUGAGACUGGAAAAGCAGAGUGGAGCCAGUGUGCAGAGGAUCCAAUAUGGCACCCUAAGGAGUCUGACUUCAUCCUGCAGUGGUGAAUGGGAAAUCAUCUAAGUUUAUUAUUAUUCGUAAGCACAGGGGCAGUGUACAAUUUCUGCGUUGAGAAAGGAGAAUUCUGAAAUGGUAGUUUUGAAUGGUGGAUUUAAAGUGGGAGAUUGAUUUGAGCCUUUAACAUUGCAGUUUAAAAACAAACAGAAUUUUAAAAAGCAAGUGGGAGAUAGAUAUUGAAAGCAGGAAGACCAUUCAGGAGAUAGCCACAAUAGUCUAGAGAGAGAUGGGGAAGGUCAGUUGUAUGUCAGACCAAGCAGCAUGUUUGAAACACUGAAGAAAAAAGCUCCAGUGAUCCACGUAUGAGUGGCCUGACCUACGGAGUAUCGAGGAGAAGGAGAGGAAGGCAAUAGAAAGAACUAGACAUGGGUUGAACUCUUGGUAGCCUGACUAGUGCCUGACUGUUCUUCAAGACUCUCUCCUGAAUAGAUUUGACCUUUUGGACCUUCUAGGGCCCUUUUCAUCACUUGUUACCAGCCAUUGCUACCUCCUGGAGCCCCCUUUAAUCUGGAGCCCCCUUUGAUCACUUGUUACCAGCCAUUGCUACCACCCUGCACCAUUGCAAAGUGGAAUGUACGUGACUCUUCUCAAAGCCCCUAGAACUAUAUACACACAUCAUUGUAGCACUUCUUAUAUGACACGUACUGUGAUCACUUGUUAGCCUCACAUGUUCUGGCCCUUGCCUACUUCUUUGAUACCAUUUUUUUUAUCCCUUUCCUGCAUAUUGUGUAUUUUCCAAUCUGUCACUUUAAUAAGAAAUCUACAUGUUUUAUGUGGUGUGAUGAGCUCAAGGAUUAUUAGAGCUGAAAGGAAUUGUGGGUUUUCAACUAUCUACAUAUAUACUGAAGUCUCAGGUGAUCAUCAGCAUUUUCAACAAUAAGGCAUUUUAAAAUUAAGGCAUGUACAUUCUUAAGGACAUAAUGCUAUUGUGCCUUUAAAAGACUACAAUAUAGUGUAAAUAUAACUUUUUUUUUUUUUUUG